rnacentral:rRNA from 1 species
CACGUAGGGUGCGAGCGUUGUCCGGAAUUAUUGGGCGUAAAGAGCUCGUAGGCGGUGUGUCGCGUCGGCCGUGAAAACCUGCAGCUUAACUGUGGGCGUGCGGUCGAUACGGGCAUCACUGGAGUUCGGCAGGGGAGACUGGAAUUCCUGGUGUAGCGGUGAAAUGCGUAGAGAUCGGGAAGAACGCCGGCGGCGAAAGCGACUCUCUGUCGGAUCCUGACGCUGAGGUGCGAAAGCUAGGGGAGCAAACGGGGAUUAAGAAACC